rnacentral:rRNA from 1 species
CCCUUAGAUGUCCGGGGCCGCACGCGCGCUACACUGAAGGAAUCAGCGUGGCUUUCUCCCUGACCCGAAAGGGUUGGGAAACCCGUUGAAUCUCCUUCGUGAUAGGGAUUGGGGCUUGAAAUUGUUCCCCAUGAACGAGGAAUUCCCAGUAAGCGCGAGUCAGAAGCUCGCGUUGAUUACGUCCCUGCCCUUUGUACACACCGCCCGUCGCUACUACCGAUUGAACGGUUUAGUGAGGGCCUCGGAUUGGUCUCGGCCCGCUCUUUACCGGGCGGCGCCGUUGGUCGAGAAGACGCUCGAACUUGAUCGUUUAGAGGAAGUAAAAGUCGUAACA